UACAAAUAUGGGAAAUCAGACUACAGAUCCAGCACCAUAGUGGAAGGCUGCUGAAUUAGGAGUUAAAAGAAAAUGACCAGGUUGGAAUCCUGCUUCUGAUUUAUGAGUUACAUUCUAUAAGUAGCAAGGGCAAGAAGAAGUUGUUAAUCAAACAAGAUUCAUCCAACUUGCGCCUUGAAGAAAGCAUUUCAACAAAUCAGGAUUUGAACUUAGGGUGCCUAAGAAAAAGAUAAUCAGCUCAGACUAGAAAAGAAGCAGAUCACAUCUUCUAUGCCAAUCAGCAGAGGGGCAACUUGAGCAUGGGUGAAUCCAAUGGAAGAAGAUUCCUGAAACAAAAUGCUUCAGAUGGGGAGGAAUGAGCUUAUCUCUUUCCCAGCCUCCGUUGACAAGAUUACAACCCUAUGAACUUCAAGAGUUCUGAAGAUCUGGAUUUUCCACUAGGAGGUGGAAGUAUACUUAGAAUAGGUGUGUGACUACCAGCAGUAUCUUAAUCUGGAGCUGACAGACAUGCUAAGUAUAAACUGAACAAGGAAAGACAGUAUGCAGGAUAUAUACACUGAUCUGAAGAGGUCAGCAAAGAGCAAUACUUAGAAGUUCAUGAAGACUCCAAUGUCCAAGAGACACUCUUCCAUCUGAACAACACAGAGAAUGCCACAAAAUGAGAGACAAUAUAUUAACUGCUAAGUUAAUUUAGCAGUUAAUCGUGGUGGUGGUUUCUGCAUGCUGAAAGAUGCAACUAUAAAGGUAUUGCCAAAAAAUAAAAUAAACAAAUGUAA